GGGAGUUCUUCGUUGUUUUCACUAUACUUUUAGAGAAUUACAUAUUACAAGUGAACAAUCAUGAUGCCUUUAAUGCUUGCUAACCUUCUAUUUAUAGAUGUGAGAGUGAGCCCUACAGGCCCUAGGCCCAUGAACACUAAUAAUUGGAUUUAGGCCCUUUAAUGCCUUAAUACACUUUAGUUUUGACUUGAUCCAUUUGCGAUGUCCUUCGUUGCUCAUGUUGAGUAGCUCCCUUGAGCUGCGCAGGCUAGUCUUUGCUGCCGAGUAACCUGGGUAGUCUGCGCCGCCAAGUCCCGUAGUCUGCGCUGGCGAGUCCCUUAAUCUGCGCUGCCGAGUAAUCUGGGUAAUUUGCGCCGCCAAGUCCCGUAGUCUGCGCUGGCGAGUCCCUUAAUCUGCGCCGCCAAAUCCCGUAGUCUGCGCUGGCGAGUCCCUUUAUUAUCUAAGGUCUUCAAUUAAACCUGCACUGGUUGGCCUCGUUCAAUAAGAAUAAUGAUAACAGUAAUAGUAAUCAAGUAAGAUGUUUCUGUAUUGCUAAGUACAGCGCUGAUGAGUAUUCUAGUCCUCAUCAGUGAAACAAGAAACUUUACCCUAAUUAUAAAACGAUAAACGAGACAAGAUGUACGUGGUUCGAUCAUAAAUGAUCUACGUCCACGGGAGUUCUUCGUUGUUUUCACUAUACUUUGAGAGAAUUNUGCCAAUGGUCGGCUCAGAGGAUGGGAGCUCGGUGCGGCGGUGGUGGCUGGUUUUCGCUGCGAUUAGGGUCUUCAAUCGGAGGUUAAAGUCAUGGAAGAAGGGCGGCGGCUUCAAUCGAAACCUGCGCUGAACCUGGUCUAGGUUCGCUGGGUCACAGCGGUCGAGCUCGACUUUUCUGAGGAUGAAUGAUUUGAGAGUUGGGAGUGGCCGCAGCCAUCUUUUGACCGGAGUAUUUGAAGAGAAGAGAGAGACCGAGACGUGUAUCUGCAGUGGCUAGAAGACCGAGAAAAUCAAGGCAUAGAUUCAAUUUUUCCCAUCGUAGAUCCAGAUAUACCAAGAGUAGCGAUUUUUUCUUUUUAGAAGAGAGAAACCGAGACGAAGAGAUGCAGAAGGCGACACAGGUCGAAUAGCGCCAGACCUUGCCGGAUUAUCAGGAGCCACUGUGGCGGCUGGAACAGUCGGCGAAUUUCGUGGUUGGAACUUGGAACAGUCGGCGGAUUUUGAGGAGAGAAGGGGCGAACUCUGAGAUGAGAGAGAGAGAGAACGAAUCCCCCUUUUCACAAAUCCCUUUCUCGAUUCAGAUUUUUUCAGAAUUCUCGAUGAUGAAAAAUUGGGUCAGGAUCGAGAAAUGUUACACGCCUGAUUGGGGAUAUUGCGGAUAUCGCCGAUAGAGUGUUGCCGGAAUCUGGAAAUUGAAAAAAAAACAUAUCCGGAAAAUAUGUUCCCGCAAGAACCGAGCCCUCCAUUUUCUUUCCUUGAAAUUGAAACGAUGAACAGUAGCCUGACUUCAAAAUGAACAGUAACUCAAAUCCCUAAUUUCCCAAAUCUAUUUUCGAUGAACAGUAACCCUCCUCCCUUUAUUCGAUGAACAGUAAAUCCGAAUCUGGAAAUUCCAAAAAUCGAGAAGAAUGCUCCUUGAAACUCACGCCUUAAGCUUAAUUUCUCACAGACGGCGCCAGUUGGUGAAGCAUGAAAUCUUACCCUAAUUAAGAAAACGAUAAACGAGACAAGAUGUACGUGGUUCGAUCAUAAAUGAUCUACGUCCACGGGAGUUCUUCGUUGGUUUCACUAUACUUUGAGAGAGUCUUUACAUAAGUGUUGCUUAGAAAGAUAAAUCCCCCCUUUAAUGCUAAAGCUAACCUUCUAUUUAUAGAUGUGAAAGUGAGCCCUAAAGGCCUUAGGCCCAUGAACUCUAAUAAUUGGAUUUAGGCCCUUUAAUGCCUUAAUACACUUUAGUUUUGAGUUAAUCCAUUUGCGCUGUCCUUCGUUGCUCAUGUUGAGUAGCUCCCUUGAGCUGCGCAGGCUAGUCUUUGCUGCCGAGUAACCUGGGUAGUCUGCGCCGUCAAGUCCCGUAGUCUGCGCUGGCGAGUCCCUUAAUCUGCGCCGCCAAAUCCCGUAGUCUGCGCUGGCGAGUCCCUUUAUUAUCUAAGGUCUUCAAUUAAAC
rnacentral:lncRNA from 1 species